CAUGUGCCUGGCACGUAGCAUGAAGUUUACGUGUGAGCAUUUAGGUGCCAUGUGACAGAAGUCCAGAUGUCAGGACACUGGGGAUGUACGGCCACCGCAGAUGCUGCUGGAAGCUAGCUCAGCUUCCGUCCUUCCUUCCUUCUUCCUUCCUUCCUCCUUCCUUCCUCCCUCCCUCCUUCCUUCCUCCCUCCCUCCCUCCUUCCUUCCUCCCUCCCUCCCUCCCUCCUUCCUCACUCCCUUCUUCCUUCCUUCCUUCCUUCUUCCCUCCUUCCUCACUCCCUUCUUCCUUCCUUCCCUCCUCCCUCCCUCCUUCCUUCCUUCUUCCUUCCUUCCUUCCCUCCUCCCUCCCUCCUUCCUCACUCCCUUCUUCCUUCCUUCCUUCCUUCCUUCCUCCCUCCCUCCUCCCUCCCUCCUUCCUCACUCCCUUCUUCCUUCCUUCCUCCUUCCUUCCUUCUUCCUUCCUUCCUUCCUUCUUCCUUCCUUCCUUCUUCCCUCCUUCCUUCUUCCCUCCUUCCUUCUUCCUUCCUUCCUUCCUUCCUUCCUCCUUCCUUCCUUCCUCCCUCCCUCCUUCCUUCUUCCCUCCUUCCUCACUCCCUUCUUCCUUCCUUCCUUCCUCCCUCCUCCCUCCCUCCCUCCCUCCUCCCUCCCUCCUUCCUUCCUUCUUCCCUCCUUCCUCACUCCCUUCUUCCUUCCUUCCUCCCUCCCUCCUCCCUCCCUCCCUCCUUCCUCCCUCCCUUCCCUCCUUCCUUCCUCCCUCCCUCCCUCCCUCCCUCCCUCCCUCCUCCCUCCCUCCCUCCUCCCUCCCUCCCUCCCUCCUUCCUUCUUCCCUCCUUCCUCACUCCCUUCUUCCUUCCUUCCUUCCUUCCUUCCUUCCUUCCUUCCUUCUUCUUCCUACCAAGGAUGAGAGGGAAAAUGAUCUUGGGUAGUCACUGAGCCAUCUGCCCCAGAAAGCCAACAAUAGAUCAGGCAGAAGAUUCCCAGGAGUUCCAAUAUUAAUAUUAGACAAAGAUAAAUUCAUGGCAAAAAAAUGCAUCGCAAGACAAAGCCUAUGAUUUUAUAGAGAUAAAAGCUAACCUCAAAGAUGCAGGAAACCUUAUCACCAACAGAUAGCAUACAACUGGCAAAAGAAACAGUACCAGAUAUACAAGGAGAAAUUGGAAAUCCUACAACGGCAGCAAGA
rnacentral:lncRNA from 1 species